rnacentral:rRNA from 1 species
AGCUUCAGUAGCGUAUAUUAAAGUUGUUGCAGUUAAAAAGCUCGUAGUCGCAUUUCUGGCGAGAGGAUCCGGUCCGACCUUUUGGUGGGUUCUUGGGUCUCUUUCGCCAUCCUUGAGUGGUCCGUUCUGGCAUUAGGUUGUCGGAGCGUCAGCCGCUCAUCGUUUACUGUGAGAAAAUUAGAGUGUUCAAAGCAGGCUUAUGCCGUUGAAUAUAUUAGCAUGGAAUAAUAAGAUAGGACCUCGGUACUAUUUUGUUGGUUUGCGCACCAAGGUAAUGAUGAGCAGGGACAGUUGGGGGUAUUUGUAUUUCGUUGUCAGAGGUGAAAUUCUUAGAUUUACGAAAGACAAACUGCUGCGAAAGCAUUUACCAAGGAUGUUUUCA